GACGAACCGUACGAACGUUAUUCGGAAUCACUGGGCUUAAAGGGUGCGUAGGCGGCGCAGAAAGUUGGGUGUGAAAUCCCUCGGCUCAACCGAGGAACUGCGCCCAAAACUACUGUGCUCGAGGGAGACAGAGGUGAGCGGAACUUAGGGUGGAGCGGUGAAAUGCGUAGAUAUCGUCUGGAACGCCGAAGGUGAAAACAGCUCGCUGGGAUUGUGCUGACGCUGAGACACGAAAGCCAGGGGAGCGAACGGG
rnacentral:rRNA from 1 species